CAGCACCUCAAGUGGUCAGGAUGAUUAUUGGGCCUAAAGCAUCCGUAGCCGGCGCUGUAAGUUUUCGGUUAAAUCUGUACGCUCAACGUACAGGCUGCCGGGAAUACUGCAGCGCUAGGGAGUGGGAGAGGUAGACGGUACUCGGUAGGAAGGGGUAAGAUCCUUUGAUCUAUUGAUGACCACCUGCGGCGAAGGCGGUCUACCAGAACACGUGCGACGGUGAGGGAUGAAAGCUGGGGGAGCAAACCGGAUUAGAUACCCGAGUAGUCC
rnacentral:rRNA from 1 species